GACGAACGCUGGCGGCGUGCCUAAUACAUGCAAGUCGAACGCAGUGGGGACGGGUGAGUAACACGUGGGUAACCUCCCAUCAGAGGGGAUAACACUUGGAAACUGGCGCUAACCCGAUAUUGAUGGAUGUACUCGCGGGGCAUUAGCUAGUUGGUGAGGUAACGGCUCACCAAGGCCACGAUGCAUAGCCGACCUGAGAGGGUGACCGGCCACACUGGGACUGAGACACGGCCCAUACGCCUACGGGAGGCAGCAGUGGGGAAUCUUCGGCAAUGGGCGAAAGUCUGACCGAGCAACGCCGCGUGUGUGAAGAAGGUUUUCGGAUCGUAAAACUCUUUUGUUAGGGAAGCGGUAUCUAACCAGAAAGCCACGGCUAACUACGUGCCAGCAGCCGCGGUAAUUC
rnacentral:rRNA from 1 species